CCUACGGGAGGCAGCAGUGAGGAAUAUUGGUCAAUGGCCGGAAGGCUGAACCAGCCAAGCCGCGUGAAGGACGAAGGUGCCAAGCAUUGUAAACUUCUUUUGUCAAGGAACAAUAUCUGGUUCGUGUACCUUACUGCGGGUACCUGAUGAAAAAGCAUCGGCUAACUCCGUGCCAGCAGCCGCGGUAAUACGGAGGAUGCGAGCGUUAUCCGGAUUUAUUGGGUUUAAAGGGUGCGUAGGCGGCCUGUUAAGUCAGCGGUAAAAGCCCGGGGCUCAACCCCGGCGAGCCGUUGAAACUGGCGGUCUUGAGAUGGCGAGAAGUAUGCGGAAUGCGCGGUGUAGCGGUGAAAUGCUUAGAUAUUGCGCAGAACCCCGAUUGCGAAGGCAGCAUACCGGCGCCACACUGACGCUGAGGCACGAAAGCGUGGGUAUCGAACAGGAUUAGAUACCCGUGUAGUC
rnacentral:rRNA from 1 species